rnacentral:ncRNA from 1 species
AAAAAAUUCUAUGUGAAAAAUUUUACAAAUAAAUAAAUUUUUUAUGGUUUAAAAAUUUUAUUUUAAGUUUGUUUUACAUGUAAAUUUUAGUGUUAUAUAUUGAUUAUUUAGAUAAUAUUUAAUUUUUAGUGCAGUAAUUAGUUUUAAAAAAUUUAAGAAAUUAAGAUUUAGUAAUGUUUUAAUUAAUAACUAAUUUUGUGCCAGCAGUUGCGGUUAUACAAAAAUUAAUUUAAAAUUUUUUAGUUUUAAUAAUUAAUUAAAAUUAAUAAUUUAAAUUGAAAAUUAUUAGGUGAAAUUUUAAUUUUAUAUAAAAUUAUUUUAUAAUUAUGAUUUAAUAAAUUUUAUAAAAAACUAGGAUUAGAUACCCUAUUAUUAAAAAAUUAAAUUUAAUAAUGCUAAAAUAGUAAGUAAUUUAUUGAAACUUAAAUAAUUUGGCGGUAUUUUAGUUUAUUUAGAGGAAUCUGUUUAAUAAUUGAUAAUCCACGAAUAAAUUUACUUAAUUUGAAAAUUUUGUAUAUCGUUGUUAAAAAAAUAUUUUUUAAUAGUAAUAAUAUUUAAAAAUUAAAAUAAUAAAUAAGAUCAGAUCAAGAUGCAGAUUAUAAUUAAGAAUAUAAUGGAUUACAAUAAAUUUAUUUAAAUUGGAUUUUAAUAUGAAAAAGAUUAAAUGAAAUUGGAUUUAAAUGUAAUUUUAUAAAAUUUUAUAAAAUGAUUAUUAAUUAAAAUAUGUACAUAUUGCCCGUCGCUUUCAUUUAUAAAUUGGAAUAAGUCGUAACAAAGUAGAGGUACUGGAAAGUGUUUCUAGAAAGAU